rnacentral:lncRNA from 1 species
GAAACUUUCCAACAUGGAUGAUAGAGGAAACAAAGCCAUCAAUGCUCUUGGGAAAUUUGCAAGAGCUGCACCCGAUGAACCUCUCAUCAAAAGUGAAGAAACCAAAAAUGAAAAGAUUGCAGUUCAAAUUUCAAGAUUCAAGAUUCGGAAUCAAAAUCCAAUAAUAAAGAAUCAUUCUAAAAAAAUUAAGGUAUGUUCGCAUUAUUAAUUAGAUAUGAAGGAUAUUGACAAUAAAGGAAUUUAGAUUUUAAAGUUUUAAAGUUUAAAGUUUCUGAAAGUAUCAACAGUGUAUACUAUAGAUUCCUAAUUGAUUUACGUUUCCAAUUCUCCCAAAAAAAAUAAAAAAAAAAUAAAGAAAUAGAGAUUGGGAAGGCUGCAGGAUAGUAAUGCAGUUUUAUCCCUCUUUAAUAAUAAUUUAGCGAAUUGCUUUAUAAAAGUUUCUGCGGAUUUCUCCAGGAAUACCUGUGUACUGCAAUCAAUGAAAUCGGACCUUGACUACAUCUUUCUGAAGCUGAGGUAUGCAACUAUGAAAGUACUCUAAUUUUUUUAUUUCUUUGUUUCUUUUUUAUGUGGUCCAUCAAAAGAAACAACCUUGUUAUGGAAUCCAAUCAUGAGAAUUCAGGUAAAAUGUAGUUUCUUUGUAACAUUAUGUUGGCAUUGACUUGCUUUGAAUCCCCCGCACAACAUAUGAACGAGAAGAUUUAAUUCCAUAUAAAAUCUUUGAAAUUUUUGGGUACGAUGACUGGAUGAAGCUUUAAAACUUUCACGGGAUUCGCAGCAAUGUAAUUAAUUUAAUCGCAAAAUAUGUUGAAGUUGAAACUUUCAAUUAGUAUGCGUCCUCAUAGAUUUUUGAGCUACACUACUUAAAUCAGGACAGUUUUGGCUUGAUGGAAGCCGAAAUGGUCUCACUGGAGGUAUGCGUAGUAGUUGGUUGGGUCUGUGACCGUCUUAGUUUGUUCAUUGAUCUGACAAGCCUUAGAUAUAAUAGGCUUUUUAUCUUGCAAACUUGAUUUUCAUUCAGUUUAAAGCCUAAUAUGUGUGACAAUCUUCAUUGACAAGGGAUAUUCCGUGGCUUUUCUCAUGGCAAAUGCAAUUAUGACUUGCCAGAUAAGAGUUAUUCAUACAAAUAUAUGGAUAGAAAUUUUAGCAUUAUGUGCCCCGGAACAUAACUCAAUGGUACAAAGAAAAGGAGUGAGGUAGUCUCAACCUUGUUGGUAGUCGCAGUGCGAGGGUUCGAUCCCUGAAAUAUGGAAUUAGACUAUUUGUAAGCACCAGUGUACGGGCAAGCUCUUGUUACCUGGCCUGUUGGAGCACAUCGCCCCGAUUUACAUCCCUCACGAUGCUCCAAGGAUGAGGCGGUGGAGGUCCUCAAGGUUGGGGUUCUACAUUUUUACAAAUUUUAGCAUUAUGUCAUAAGCUAGGAAGGAAGAAAAUCAAUCGACUGAAACAUGAUUUAGAGAUAACAAUCAUUUAAGAAGUUAAACGGUCUGUUGUGUCAAUCCUUUAACCGGUAUGUUCUUGUCUCUUGCUGUAUUAUCAUACUUCUGGUAAAACGAAUUUUGUAUUUUCCCUCAACUUAUUUGUCACCAGAUUUCUAAUUAAACUUUCAUUUUGGUGAUUAAAAAUGUGGUGUUUGUUAUGAAUUGUCAGAACAUUAAGGCAAAGAUCUUAUCGACCUACCCAGAUGCUUUUCCAGAUUAUUCUACCGUAGAAGCACUCGAUCGAAGACCAGACCUUGAGCUGCCUCAGUGACUCCGGCGCUGGACAUAUCUCAGAUUUUUUUAAUUAUUUUUUUCCUUUUAUUCGAUUAAUCUCUAU